rnacentral:rRNA from 1 species
AAUAUUGCGCAAUGGGGGAAACCCUGACGCAGCGACGCCGCGUGUAGGAAGAAGGCCUUCGGGUCGUAAACUACUGUCAAGAGGGAAGAAACUGUUUGGUCAUAAUACGUCCAUUCACUGACGGUACCUCUAGAGGAAGCACCGGCUAACUCCGUGCCAGCAGCCGCGGUAAUACGGAGGGUGCGAGCGUUAAUCGGAAUCACUGGGCGUAAAGCGUGCGUAGGCGGCGCAUCAAGUCAGACGUGAAAGCCCUCGGCUCAACCGAGGAAUUGCGUUUGAAACUGAUGUGCUAGAGUCUCGGAGAGGUUAGGGGAAUUCCAGGUGUAGGAGUGAAAUCCGUAGAUAUCUGGAGGAACACCGGUGGCGAAGGCGCCUAACUGGACGAGUACUGACGCUGAGGUACGAAAGCGUGGGGAGCAAACAGGAUUAGAUACCCUGGUAGUCCACGCCGUA